GCCCGGCUAGCUCAGUCGGUAGAGCAUGAGACUCAUAAUCUCAGAGUCAUAGGUUGGAGCCCCACCUUGGGCG
rnacentral:tRNA from 1 species